AAAUAAAAGACCACUGGAAACGCUUUAAAAAUAGAUCAAAAGAUGAUCAGAGUGGGACUUUGAAUGAAAUAGUUUUAGAUCUUUUCACAAGCUAAACAUGCUUUUUAUCAAUCUAGAGAUAAAACGGAAAAGAAGCAGAGAGUGUGGCCUACACUAAACGACUGAAGGCCAGCUUGCCAAGACGUUCAGUCAUUUCUUUCAGUGCAGACCUUCAGCAGAUGAUAAAAAACAACUUUGUCCGAGUUACUAAAGCCCAGUGAGGUUUAAGUGAUUGGCAGGCAGCUGGAAGAAUGUGGGCAACAAAGAUGCACUACUGCUCCGUUUACAGCCAGCAGACUCCCUCAUCUGAACUAAAAGAUAUGUGGGCUGUUGAAGAAAACAAAUGGACAACGAAUGUUAAAUCUUUAUUUUGGAAAACACUCAAACCUCUUGCAGAAGUGCAAAUUUUCAACAUUGUGUAAUUAAGUGAUUACUGGUAAUUUCCUUGUCUAUUAUUUUGCCAAAUAUGAUCCUUAUUGGUUAAAAUGUUAUUCAAACACAUUCAAUCCAGUGUUAAUAAACACCAGUAUGUUUCAUUUGAAAUAACCUGUUAUUUAAAUGGUUAUGAUAACUCUAAAUCACAAAUGUCUUUGUCUUUCUGAGCUUCACUAAAUGAAGCAGUUUCCACUUCCUGCUCCUCAUUGGGUCAGUAACAGACAGUUUACAAGAAAAUCUUUAAUAGCCAAACAUUUUGGGCCAUAAUGUCCAGAAAUUACGACCCCGCAGGUUCUGAGGUUAAUGACAUUCACUUCAGUUUACAGCAGACAUAAGCUCUGUGGUCUCAGACUACUCAAUCAGUGCAACCCUAAAGCCAUUGAGAGAUUCCCAAAGAGGAGAAGAAAGCAAAGUGAGAGUGAAUUUGUGUUGAAUCAAAAUAUCUGAUGGUGCCCAAGCCCUGCAAAGCCAGAGAACGCUCAAGAAAUGAUUCAACACAUGCGCGGUUUGUUUGUAAAACAGAAAAAUAUUCACGCAAACGUUAUGGGAUCAUUCUUAACCUUCAUCCAAGAGUAGAUCCAAAGUGAAGUGAAAAGCUGGGGUCUGUUUGUUUUUACUAUUUUUAUCUUUGGCAGGAAAUCGUUCCGAAUGAAAGCUGCCAAAAAUAAAAUCUCCUUCAGCGUUGCUGUAUCGGGUUGGCAGCAGAAAUCCCCGCAGCAGAUAACUUGAAGCGCUGCCACACACCACAAGUGGGAAGGCACACAUCAUCAUCAAGUCGCUGUAAUUUCCCCAAACAAGCGUCGCCACAUGAAUAAACACAAAACUGCUCUCACACUCACCCGUCCCUCAUGCUUCCUGGGCUGGCUAAGGAAGAUAUGGGACUGUUGGCAUCAAAGUUCCUCUCUGGGCCGGAAUACUGGGAGCAGGUGUCUGCUGAAGGAGCCAGGAAGUCUGGAUUCAUCCUGUUUUGAGUCGCACUGCUGUCGGAGAAAACACCUGAAAGAAAGACGCAGUUUACCUCAAAAUUCAUCCGAUGACAAGGGGUGUGAAGGCAGCAGUGGAGGAUAGGUCAUAUCAUCAUCAUCAUCAUCAUCAUCAUCAUCAUCAUCAUCAUCACUUUGAAAUUAUUGAGAGAAACUUAACUUUGAUCAAAAUAGAAAAAUGGCAACAAAACCAAAUAUUGCACUGACUGUCAGCUUUUACACAAACUACUGCUACCCUCAGACAUUCAAUGACCUUUUCCUAAUUUCUGCUGCUCUCCGGUUCCUGAAUAUUCUGGUCCCAAACCUUAGAAGAAGAAUACUGAGAAGAUCAGGUUGGUAGAAGAGGAACUGAAUCUGUGCCUGCUUGCUAUUUAGCUCUGUCAGGUGUGUGCAGUCAGUGUCUUUGCAGCAGGAAGUAUUUGAAACUCUGUCAGACGAAAGCUCCAUUUCUCUGGCAGGCUCAGGACCUGAGCCUGCCAGAGAAAUACCUUUCAAUGCCUUUCAGUAAAAGUAACACAUCUGUAGUUUGGUGCUCAAAUUACAGAGUUACCCUUAGACAAUUACACUCAGACAGAUUACCCUUAUACAGAUUACAUUUAUUUAGAUUACAUUUAUACAUUCAGUCAGAGUUACACUCAGACAUACUUAGGCCAAAUCCGUAUUCUUCCUCUACCACUACAUUUGGUUACUUAAUUGGAGAGUUAUGUAGAAAAAUAGUGUCUUCAAAUCAGGACAUUACUCCCACUCAAUGAUGUCAUCAAUAGUCGCCAGUGAGCUACGUUUGCGUAUAGCUGCCAGCGCUUAGAAAUACAAAACAACGUCAGUUUUUAGACUGAGUUCCAUUCAGACAGAAGGAACAACAGGGAACCUGCUCCAACUCUGUCUCCCUACCUUGUGACUCCUGAGUUUGAAUCGAGGUCUGAUAUUUUCAUCCAAAUAUUUCUCAAGAUUUUGGUGAGGAUGGAAUACGUUUAAUGUCAUCAUUUAAAGAUAAAUUAUAAAACCCAACAUGUAGUUCAUUUCUGUUCAAAUGGAAAGAAAAAAGUUACAAAAAUAAGUACAAAAACAUGGUGUCUUUAAAAAUGUCAAGGUAAUUCUCACUAGAAAAUAUAUUUUUUGACACAGAGUGAUCAUAACCACUAUUGUAAAAUAAUUAAAAAUCAAGAAACACGCAGAGUAAUCUGUUGUUUUUUUUUCGUUUAAAGGCUUGUGUUCACAUCUGAGGUCUCAAAACAGUCCCUUGAUGAACACAUUUAAAGUCAACAAACAUUUCUGCUCUAAACUCCAAAGUAAAAAUCAAGAAAUUAGAAUUUUUAGUUAACAAUUUAUUUACACAUUUCUUAGUUGUGAAGAUCUGAUACCAGGAGAAACACACAAAUGAUGACAUGAUGGCAUGAAUAAUUAUGCCACAAAGAUUCUGCAGUUAUUGUCUGCAGGUUUUAGCUUUCCACUGGAAACAGCAGAACAGCACCACUUUUAGAAAAGGAGCAAGAGUCAAGCCUGAGAGCCAACUGUGGAGCCAGCAAAAGCUCUUCACACCAAAAACUAAUCAUUCAAAGCUGCAGCUCCAUGUCACAAAAGUGGGGCUCUCUCUGAGUUUAUCCUGACGAUGAUGACAGCAUGUUAUGUUAAAACCUCUAACAUUUAUAUACAUUUUGGUCAUAAAAUGUGCUUUAAACUGAGAUAUUCGCCUUUUUCCUUGAUAAGUCAAGAGUCCUCUUGGGAUAUUUUCAAAAUUACACACCGACAUGCUUGUUUCACCACAAGUAAACGCAGCUCCCAGUGUGCCGUUCGAGGCUUUUCCGUCUCGGUCCUUUGGGUACAACUGCAAGUAGUCUGAAGUAAUACACAUGGACAGCUCUUUCAGAUACUCUCCUCUCUCCUUUGCCAACGGAACCUCAGCGUACCUGACAGCUUCUUGAAUCCAAUUCAGCCAUUGAGGGAAAAGAAAAAACCUUUGGCUGGAAAACCUGUGUUGGAGAAGUUAAAGGACAGGCAGAGUAAAGGCGACUAGCCCACAGUUGGUGCCCAAUAAUUGGACAAGGUAAACACGGACAUGGUGAGCUGCAGCAGAAGGGAUGAGGAGGGAGUAAAGGAGCAAAUGAGGCCAUGGAAGAAAAUAACAACAGUCCAGGUGUUGAGCCGAUUAUCCAUGUUAAAGGCUGAUUUUUGCUACCGUUUCAUCUGCACAUACCUGUGAACUCAUCUACAAACGGCAAGGUGCUUUCUCGACAGGAGGACACGGAACUGUGGAGAUGCUGCCUUGCCAGGAAAUCACUCAAGAUCUCUGAUUCCAGGAUUGCGUGGACCUGAACCUGCCAGCAAGACGAAAAACAGACACUCACUUCAGUUUUACCAGUACAUUAGAUUCCUGAAUGAGAAUAAUUACAUGAAAGCUGCAGGUUGGUUGCUUUCCAGUGGAGUGCUGAAGCUCCAAUAAAACAUGUCGAAAGGCUUGAUUGCACGAGGAAACUUGUUGAUUGCUUUGUGCAGAUCAGUAAAAAUCCCAACUGUU